rnacentral:rRNA from 1 species
GAUGAACGCUGGCGGCGUGCCUAAUACAUGCAAGUCGAGCGAACGGAUGAGAAGCUUGCUUCUCUGAUGUUAGCGGCGGACGGGUGAGUAACACGUGGAUAACCUACCUAUAAGACUGGGAUAACUUCGGGAAACCGGAGCUAAUACCGGAUAAUAUUUUGAACCGCAUGGUUCAAAAGUGAAAGACGGUCUUGCUGUCACUUAUAGAUGGAUCCGCGCUGCAUUAGCUAGUUGGUAAGGUAACGGCUUACCAAGGAAACGAUGCAUAGCCGACCUGAGAGGGUGAUCGGCCACACUGGAACUGAGACACGGUCCAGAAUCCUACGGGAGGCAGCAGUAGGGAAUCUUCCGCAAUGGGCGAAAGCCUGACGGAGCAACGCCGCGUGAGUGAUGAAGGUCUUCGGAUCGUAAAACUCUGUUAUUAGGGAAGAACAUAUGUGUAAGUAAAUGUGCACAUCUUGACGGUACCUAAUCAGAAAGCCACGGCUAACUACGUG